rnacentral:lncRNA from 1 species
UAGUGCCAUCAAAUUAUUCUUUUGGACCUUAUCAACUCCACGAUAUGCUUUGGCCAAAAUAUACCAUCGCUGUUUUGUUGUUUGGGCUGUGGAAAUUUUGCCAAACACAGACAUAUCGAUGGCCUUGUGUAUUUGGGACAAGGCCAUACUAUCACGCCUUAUUUCAUUCUUUUCAGCACCUUCCUCCAGUUCUUCUCGCGUAUAUUUUAACAAAUUAUACGCCUUCAGAUGUGUC